AUACGUAGGGGGCGAGCGUUGUCCGGAAUGACUGGGCGUAAAGGGCGUGUAGGCGGCGGUGUAAGUCUGGAGUGAAAGUCCCGCAUUCAAUGUGGGAAUUGCUUUGGAUACUGCAGUGCUAGAGUGCGGAAGAGGUAAGUGGAAUUCCCAGUGUAGCGGUGAAAUGCGUAGAGAUUGGGAGGAACACCAGUGGCGAAGGCGACCUACCGGGUCGAAACGGACGCUGGGGCGGCAAAGCGGGGGGAGCGAACAGGAUUAGAUCCCCGGGUAGUCCACGCGGUAAACGAUGAAUGCUAGGUGUUGCGGGUAUCGACCCCUGCAGUGCCGGAGUAAACACAAUAAGCAUUCCGCCUGGGGAGUACGGCCGAAAGGUUGAAACUAAAAUGAAUUGACGGG
rnacentral:rRNA from 1 species